UACGUAGGGUGCGAGCGUUGUCUGGAAUUAUUGGGCGUAAAGGGCUCGUAGGCGGUUUGUCGCGUCGGGAGUGAAAACCCAGGGCUUAACCCUGGGCUGGCUUCCGAUACGGGCAGACUAGAGGUAUGCAGGGGAGAACGGAAUUCCUGGUGUAGCGGUGAAAUGCGCAGAUAUCAGGAGGAACACCAGUGGCGAAGGCGGUUCUCUGGGCAUUACCUGACGCUGAGGAGCGAAAGUGUGGGGAGCGAACAGG
rnacentral:rRNA from 1 species